rnacentral:rRNA from 1 species
CCUACGGGCGGCAGCAGUAGGGAAUCUUCCACAAUGGGCGAAAGCCUGAUGGAGCAACGCCGCGUGGGUGAAGAAGGUCUUCGGAUCGUAAAACCCUGUUGUUAGAGAAGAAAGUGCGUGAGAGUAACUGUUCACGUUUCGACGGUAUCUAACCAGAAAGCCACGGCUAACUACGUGCCAGCCGCCGCGGUAAUACGUAGGUGGCAAGCGUUAUCCGGAUUUUUUGGGCGUAAAGGGAACGCAGGCGGUCUUUUAAGUCUGAUGUGAAAGCCUUCGGCUUAACCGGGGUAGUGCAUUGUAAACUGGGAGACUUGAGAGCAGAAGAGGAGAGUGGAACGUCAGGUGUAGCGGUGAAAUGCGUAGAGAUAUGGAAGAACACCAGUGGCGAAAGCGGCUCUCUGGUCUGUAACUGACGCUGAGGUUCGAAAGCGUGGGUAGCAAACAGGAUUAGAUACCCGUGUAGUC